rnacentral:lncRNA from 1 species
CUUUGAUGUAUGACUUUGGUGACUUUGGUGUAGCAUUCUCCUGUGGCUUAGAUCAUAUAUGUACUCCUUAGUUGUCCAUCAGUGAAAUGGGAAAAAUGAGGCGUCCUGUGUUGCAGGGUUCAUUACAGGAUUCAUUAUCUGGCAUUCGGAAGGAGUUUUAAAGGAGAAAAAAAGUGUCGGGGAAAGGCUGAGUCCCGGCAAUUACUGAACAUUUCUCUCCCCCUCCCAGGGCUCACUUUGCACAGGUUGCUCCAGGCACUGAGACAUGAUGAACAUCCUUCUGGAAGUCCUGAUCAGCUCAUACCAGACCAGCACUGCCAGCUCUUAUUUGCCAUGGGGAAGGUAAACGGAUGCAGAGCGGAUUCAGGUGUCGGUAGAGCCCCUACAUCCAGCGCUGAGUAGCAGCAUUCAGCGGCUCACUGGCCGCUUCGAAAUCCUGCAGGCACGAUGGGACGUGAAAACGAAGGCCAGCGUUACCGCUGCUUGAAGGUGGGGUAAGGACAUGGGAGGCUAACGGGCCGGCCCCGAAGGCGGCUGAGCCCCAGCGCGGGGCCUGUGCUUCUGCUCCGGCCUUGCUGGUCCUCACGCGCUGUCAGCAGAGCAGGAGAGGGAGCGCCGGGAAGGGGUUCCCGGAGGAAAAUCCCCUUCAGAAAGGGCUGAGCACAUGCUGUCGGUUUUCUGCAGAACGCGUCAGCAUUUCCUUUUGGCUCCGGCUUGAAAUAUUAUUUGAAAAGUAGAAAAGAAUUAAAACGGAAAAGGAGAGGGGAAUGCCACUCUGCCAUUUUAUCCUUAUUUUUUUACCGUUUUG